UAUGGUAAUGCCAGCAGCCGCGGUAAUACGUAGGUGGCAAGCGUUGUCCGGAAUUAUUGGGCGUAAAGGGCGCGCAGGCGGCGUCGUAAGUCGGUCUUAAAAGUGCGGGGCUUAACCCCGUGAGGGGACCGAAACUGCGAUGCUAGAGUAUCGGAGAGGAAAGCGGAAUUCCUAGUGUAGCGGUGAAAUGCGUAGAUAUUAGGAGGAACACCAGUGGCGAAAGCGGCUUUCUGGACGACAACUGACGCUGAGGCGCGAAAGCCAGGGGAGCAAACGGG
rnacentral:rRNA from 1 species